CGCGUAACGAGGAGACGAUUAUUACCCAAAGAAAUUCCAUAGCACUACACAUGUCGAUGCCCAAUUUCCCGUCGACUACCAUCCGAUUGCGGGGAAGCUUAAGGCGAUUCGCGCGGCUCCCCUCCGCUUGUCUUCCCUUCCUCUCCUCUCUUCUUCUCCGAAUCUACCGCACGAGGUUCUCCAUGGCGUUGAUCGAUCGGAAACAGAAACAGGGAGAAGGAAGAGGAGUCUCGAUGCUCCUCUCCAAGCCGUCACCGGAUUCGCAUCAGCUCUCGUUGUCUCGUCGUGGAUUACUUGGUCUCCUUUAUGGGGAAGGAGAAAACUGAUCCUCAUAGCAUGAAGAAUCAAGAACUGACACAGGACUUGGGUAUUCAAAGAAGUAGGUAGAGUUGUACCUUCUGGUUCAAGACUAAGGUUGCAAUCUGGGAAGCCCUGCUUGAUGGGAUGCGAUGCUGCAGAACAGAUGACUGUAAUGCAAAGCUCCUACUUUUGUUAGAACCUGGUGAAGUUUCAUCAUUUCGACGACUUGAAACCCUUUUCUCACAGAUGAUUUCAUCAACAUCAACCUGGUCUUCUCUUUUUUGUACUUGAGAUUGUUUCAGCCUGAGUUUGUGUCUUGGAGAAACUGAUUCGACUGGUUUCCUAUUGUUAUGCUCACUUUGAGCCUUGUUCAUGUUGGGGAUACUGCAUCAAGUUUGAAUGAAAUUUCGGAGAAUUAUUAUUUCCCAUGGACCUUCUGAUGAUUUGCCUAUCUGUUGUUGAGAGAAGUGCCUGAAUGUUUGAUUCACCAAGUCUGACUCUAGGACUGUGGUCUCUCUCAGCUGUGAUGUUUGCUGAGCUUUUCUUUCUAUUACCAGCACUACUUGCUUCAUGACUACAAUUGGAGGAUCAAAAGCUUUUGGAGAACCACCUUCUUGUGCUGGUUGUUUCCAGACCUUUGGUGACCUUGAGUUCUGAGUGCUUCCCCUUGGAGUUCGGUCUGCGUAAUCUUCCAGCACAGAUAUCUUGUAGGGAUGAUCAUUAUCCUUUGUGGUCUGCGCCAGCCUCUUCGCGUGCAUAGCAGCUACUAUUUGUUUGAGAGCCCUGAGGUCCUUCUUUUGCUGCUGGAACUUAGGCCCUUUGAGUCUCUCCUCUAUCUCUUGGUAGAUGAACUGAGCUUCUUGGUACCCAGUUCUUGCUUUCUGUGGAGUCUGCUGUGUCCAAGGUGCGGUCUCAGUCAUGAUCUUUGAUUUGUGUUUCAGAAGCGAACGAUGAUCUUUUGGCUUUGCUAUUGUUGAAUCUCUGCUUUGAACAGCAUGAGGGAGCUGAUCACCUUUUGCUUCCCGAGUUCCUCUUGGUCUGGUUGCUGAGGUACAGUCUCUCGGUUCAUGGGAAGGAGCACAGCUUUUUCUGGCAACUGCUGCUUGAGCUGCUGAGUUCGAGCCGAGCAUUUCAUCCAAGCCCAUGAGCUUUGCGACGAUGCUGGGUUGUCGCUUUUGACUAAGAUCCUGAAGCAGAUUGGAAGCUCUAUUGACACUGGGACUGGUAGUAGUUUUGUCGAAGUCCUCCAAAGUUGAACUUGUUCUUGAAGCAAAGUUAGAACUCCUUUGAGCUCCUCGCCUGCUGUCCAGUGAGAGCCUUGGAAGCUCUCUAAGUUUGUUAGCGGGCUUACUGUUAUCUUGGGAAUCCAUCGACAGCCGCGAGAGUUCUCUUCCAUCAUAAGAGAAACGAGGUGAUCUCCGUGAUUCUUGGUAGAACGAGGUAUCAUUUGCUUCAUGAUCACGAAAACUCCAGGGUGCUUCCUUGAGUUCUACCAGGAGUCUGAUUGCUUCAUUGAGAUCAGCUGGCAUUCUCGUUUUGGCGAGCAGCACAGGCCUGGGCGAGUCCUUGUGCUUCACUUCAUGGUUGUUCACCUUCUCAGUUGAUGCAGUUCUGGUAGGAAAGCCCUGAGCGCCUUUCUUUAUGGGAUCUCUCACAGCAUUGUGGAAAUCAAGGGUUUGCAGAAUAGCCUUCGGGGUACUACUGCAGGAGUCAAAGCUUAUAGAUUUGGCAUCAUCUUCUGGUUUCUUGACCUUGGGUGAAUUCGCUAGUAGCGACUUCUCUUGAAAGAAUGCUCUGUCAAAGGAGCAGGCCUCCUGUCGAGAUGCUUUGACAGAUUCGAGAGAAGAAUAUGACGAGCUGGAUGAGGAACAAGAAGCUCUCGACGAUUCCAUGGAAGCUGUCUGGGUUUCGUUCAAGCUCUUGCUCAGAUUCUUCUCCUGCAUGUUAAAUUGAUAUCUGUCAAUCUUCUAUCGAUAGAGAAUAAAACAAUAGUAAGUAUGCUGAGGCUGAUACUUUACCUGAAGAAUCUGUGAAAAGCGUGGUUUUUGCUCUGACUCUUGUCUUCCAUUCUUUGGAAGAACAUGUCCUACCCAAGAACAAGAUCAAUAUUUCGUUAGGAUCUAACUCCAAAACUACAGUCUGCAGCAUAGACACAUAUCAGGGUAUCCAUUUUAAUUUGGUGGUAACAAUUUGGUGAUUCAAUUUGACAAUUGUCAAAAGAUGAGCACUUAGAUGGUCAUCAUUGAUGCUCAAUCGACACUUUUUCAGAACAAGAAUUUCUCCAUGAUAUUAGUUAUUUGUAAUACAGGAUCGAGGCAGUAUUAUUGUAUUAGUGGCUCAAGGCUUUACAAUCAUCAAAUUCUCCAUGUAUGUUCCUCAGGGGAUCCAACAGAAUCACAGAAGGGUCAGAAUCUUCAAAAUUAAAUUUGAGUUUGCUGAUGAUACAAAUGCCUCGACAAGGAGUCUCAUAAUUGAUUCAGCAAGAACCAGUUGGUACCUGAUGGAAGCUUCCUAUGGUUGUGAUCAUUGAGGCGCUUCCCAAUGAGGAGAUGGUGGCGGUCAAACAUCUGAAAGAUUCCGGCGAUGCACCCAAUUUGCUUCUGCAGAUCCAUAUUCUCAUCCGUGAACGCAUCGAGCAACUUGGCACGCAUUCUGAGCCGCUUUGAUUCCACGACUUCAAUAUAAGGCUCACAAAAAGGGAUCUGUUUUCUCGCUCUAGUGUUGGUCGAGUUCUGCAAGGGAAGGCAUGAGCAAACUGUGGGUUUAAGAAACCGAUUGUUGGGGAGGGUUCUGAGUAUAUGGUGAUAGAUUUGAGCUGGAAUCGAAGAGGCUAUGUUGAAGAUGGCUGUGAGGGGCCUUCCUCACACCUCGCGGGUCUUUAAGCAGCUUGCAUGGGCAUGUGAUGGCGGUCAGGAAGUACAGAGCAUGGUCGACUGCAAAUUGUUACCAGUAUCGUUCUCAGACUCUCCCUUCUUCUUUACCUGCUGUCAUUUUUAUGCACCAUGAUACGUGUCCAUACUCGAACACAAUCAAUUGGUUCAUUUAACUGUGACUCCAACAAGGUGGUCCUACGAACAGUUAGUGAAGGCAGCCAUCUGGAUUGUCUGCCAUUGCAGAAACUGUCGAAUCUAAACCAGUAGAAUGAAUGUUUCUUUGUACAGUAAAGAAGCUAUGACACACUACUUAUCCAUCAUGUUAGCCAUUUACAAUCUUGUUCUGGUUUUGUUAUGGAUAUGAGACUCCUGAGCUCAUCCUCCAAGUACAAGGACACAUGCUCCUAGUAGGAUAUAGGUCACUGUGGCCUUUUAGUUAAGCACAGUGAUACAUUUAUCUUGGUGGUGAUCUUUAAAACUGUUUA